UUGGAUUGUCUCAGUUUCUUUCACAAUUUUCUCUCCAUUUUCCGUCUAGUGCAACCGCAUAUCUGCCAUUGUUUCCAGCCCAAAAUCUAAAAUCACUUCACCCGUUUCCUUUGCACGAAAGCCACUCAAGCCAUAUGGUCCAGAUCUCUGCCCUAGAGUGCCUGUUUCCUUUGCAAAAAAGUCAUUCCAGUUGUUUCUCGUCGACACAACACCACUCAAGGCAAAGAGAAGCCAUUGAAGCUGCUCAGAGAUGGAGGCGACUUGAUGCAGCCAAGGCCCAACUCAAGCAGUAGCCAGUAGCAGCAAUAGCCCGUCGCAGCAGCACUAGAUCUUGCCUUGAGUUUGACAAAAUAGAAACCUGAAUCUUGGAGGCUUGCUUGUCA